ACGAAGAGGAGGAGGAGGAGGAAGACGACGAAGACGACGACGACGUUGAAAAAGAAAAAAUUAAAGAUCGAUGUUGCAAUUCACGAAGUUGAAUUAAAAAGAUGACGUUCGAUUAUCGAACACCUUGAUUAUAAUCGAUAACGCGAUUUUCCCCAAUUCCAUAUGUUCGAUAGUAAGAAAAUAAAUAAUGACAGGUAAAUAUAUCUCUCACUUUCCCUUUUUUUUUUAUUAUUAUUUUUUUCGACGAUCUGAAACAUGAAAAAAUACGAGCAUCGUAGGUCGCGUUAAAUUAAAGAAUUGUUGUUUGAUUAUUUUAUUGUUUUCUUUUUUUUCUCCUGUUUAAGAUCAAGUCAUUAGAUUCGACGAUUAUUAAACGAGAAUGUUUCCUACUAACUCAUGGUACGAAGAAGAAUAAAUAUAUAUAUAAAUCUGGUUGUAAUAAAAGCAGCAUAUUGUUUUUAAGAGCGUAUUCCAAUCAAAUCUGGGGACACACACAUCACACUGUGACAGGUGGUCACCGUAUGAACUUUUUCUUUUGGGUAAGUCAACACACAACGAACAAGGAUGAUAAAAACAUUGUUUUAUCAAUGCAAGUGUCGUCGAAGGAAUUCACUAAUAAAAGUCUCUUCCCUUAAAUAAUUCAGCAUGGGGGUGAUAUGUUUCAUCACCAUAUAUAAAACCUAGUUUAAAAGUAGUUUAACGAACGAGGUAUUAAAAAAAUAUAUAAAAAUAAUUGUGUCACCAUUAACGUUAUUAUCAAUAAAAUAAAUAUGUCACCACGGUUAUAUAUAUAUAUAGCUUAUAAAUGAUUUGUUCAAUGUAAAAUUGAUUAAGAGACAACGAAAUGGAUAGGAAAGAUAAAACAUGUUGAUCAAAAUGUAAGAAUCAUAUCCAUAUAAGAGCCCAUGUGUGUUUGUAUAUGUAUAUCAAAGAGAUAUAUUAUCCGAUUAAAAAAUGCUCUCGUAGAAGAUGACUCCCAGCUUGCAAGGACCACUCGUAGAAAAACCAAACUUCGCAGCAGGCUAAGGACCCCGGCAAGAUUAAGUUGCAGUAGACUUUCUCUUUCUCUCUCUUUCUCUCUCCGCUAUCAUUUCUCCUUUUGUUUUCUUUAUUUUUUUUGAUUUGUUUUACUCAUCUUCCGAAAUAAUAUCACUGAAUUAAUUGUAUCACGUUAAAGUGUGUAUCACUAUCUAUCAUUUUUCAUAACAUUGCAAUUCGAUGAUGGUUGGUUGGUUGUGACCAUAAUGAAACGAAUUCAAAUGAAGAGAAUAAAUCAUUUGUGUCUUUAGUAUUUUUUUUUUUUUUUUUUUU